UACAGAGGGUGCGAGCGUUAAUCGGAAUUACUGGGCGUAAAGAGCUCGUAGGCGGCUUGUCGCGUCGAUUGUGAAAGCCCGGGGCUUAACUCCGGGUCUGCAGUCGAUACGGGCAGGCUAGAGUGUGGUAGGGGAGAUCGGAAUUCCUGGUGUAGCGGUGAAAUGCGCAGAUAUCAGGAGGAACACCGGUGGCGAAGGCGGAUCUCUGGGCCAUUACUGACGCUGAGGAGCGAAAGCGUGGGGAGCGAACAGG
rnacentral:rRNA from 1 species